UAUCUAAGCUUGCAUUUGACAUAUUUUUACCGCUACCCGAGAAAGGGCGUUCUUUGUAGUAUCUGAUGUAUGUGCUUUGUUGUAGACUUUGCAGAACGAAACUUCCCUGCUAGCAGAGUCCAGCUGAGCAGAGUCUCUCCUUGGCGAUUCUUGGCAGAAAAAUUUCUCUCUGCCAAGAACCGUCGACGAGGGAGACAUUACAUUACGGCCGCACCAGAGGUAUAAAUACCAUCGACUGUCUCUCGUUUUCUCACUGGACUCUGAAGAUGACUUCUGCUCAGGUUGUCGAAACGUCAGUCACCAACGACAGUCUUUCUCAAGACUACACUCACCUGGACGAUCACACCUCACAAAUAACUUCAACACCUAGGUUCAAACCAUUUACUCUUGGGGGAAACUCUGCUAGCAGGGAAGUAUAAAAUGAACGGUUUGUACCAAAUCUGCUUGCGACUGAGAACUGAUGGAUGUAACUUCAAAAUUCAAAAAAGAAUGUAUAACUAAUUUUGAGAAUAAUGAUGAUGAUAUAGGUUUGAACAGGUGAAUAAAAAGCAGACUCAAAUCAUCAUCAUUAUCUAGUUCUGAUUUGAUAUACUAAAGGCCAUGUUACACGUUGAAACUUUAAGCAGAAACGUGCUUGCAACAGCGUUAUGUUGUAAGGAGCAUUGAAGUUAUCAACAGCACAAUUUUCGAAAUUGUUGCGAAACAAGUGGUAACAAUCAACGACUGCGUCUCAGUUAUUCCAAGAAAUGUUGUAGAGCAAAUUAGGACUUCUGUCAGAAAGUUUCACGAAACUGAAGUAGAACUGCUUUCUACACUAGUUCAACCGCAUUUUGCGUCGCGAAUGAAGUUUCAGGGCGAAAUUGCACCUUGAAUCACCUUUCGUGAUUGUCUCUCAACGCCGUUGCACGCAAGUUUCACUGAGCUGAAAGUUUCGACGUAUACACAUGAACACGGCCGUUAUUACCUGAAGGAAAAGGGUAGAACCACAGAAAGAACGCCAAAGAGACCACCAUUAACUUGAGUACAAAGAAAGACCUUUUAUAAAAUCGCAUUUUGAACCUUUCGAUUAUGGCUGAAUCCUGAAUUACGUGAGUUCGUAUACACCGAAUUGAAAUAUUGGCGACCAAUUUGAAUAUUCCUUGUUCUGCACUAGCUACCCUUGUGUUCACGUGGAAACAUGAAAGCGUUUUCGCAUGAAUGAGAGGCUAGCCAGUUUCAAACUAUAUAUAGUUAUUGAAAUUGGUCGCCACAUUUCGAUUCGUUGUAUGGAUCAGAAAAUGUAGACAAACGAUAAAGAACUUUGUACAGACAUCAGUAGCACUGAAAUGAGUGAGACAAAUUUUAAUUCGCCCAGCUGAAUUAGCAUCCAUACUGGUGCUUGCUUUAUGCCACAGCAGGGGCCGAAAACCCAAUGAAGCAUACACUGGACAAUAUUUAUAGGAUUCAAAAUCUGAAAAAGCACUCCAAGGUAAUGUUCUCCUAAGUUAAAGUGGCCUCUUUGAUUUGAUCUGAGUUAUCGCGGUUGAUGCUCAAGUUUAGUUAGCUAAUAAUUGCUUUCCAAGACCAUCACGUUUCCAUGCUUUGUCUUUUCUUCGGCCUUCUUUUGUCUCUUUUUGUUUUCUUCGGUUCAUUGCGUCACUUCAAAUUCAACAUUCCUUGCAGUAAGAAUUUGAGUUUAUCCGUUGUUUGUUUGUCUCCCCUUCGUUUGUUCCACGAGAUUUUCAAUUAUCUAUUUUACAACGUUUCCUCCAAAAGUUAAAGUUCGUCAUUUCCCCCCCUCUUCUAUAACAUUCAUGCUCUCUUCUUUCUUGUUCUGCCCUCUUCGUCGCCUCCGCGACUUGGAGCUAACUUCCAUUGGACUUGCUAAACUAACCUCAUUUAUUUCCUCACUCGGAUUCAACCUCGAGUGUAUUUCACAUUGAUUCGAACUUUUGAUCUCCUUUUUCCGUCUUCCUUGUUUUUUUCUAUCUACCUCCAUUCGAUCUACAAGUUUUUUGUUCCUCUCGCACUCGGCUUUUUCUUCUGCCGUUUUAUCAUCAGUAGUGUCCUUCAAUUCUAAAUUAUUUUUGAUUAAAGCCAUCCUGUCAACUCGAGGAAGCGUUGUCGUAAGGUCAGGACGAAUAUCUAUACCCAGUAUUUCUGGUAACAUGUUGACUUUUAACCAAGCAACUAAUGGCGUACGCCCAUGGACGUAAUGAGUCCGUUUAUGGUAAAACAACAACCCAUCGACCUUAAGACAUAUAAUGAUUGAAAAGCAUAAGGGUCUGAGGAGUGUUUCUGGACUCGGCAUUACAUAGUCACGUGUAUUUUUCAAAGAUUAAGAGUCCUCACGUGCUUGUUGUAUUUCAAAUAGUUUCAAGCGUCAAAGAAGGUUAACGGAAAAAAAAACGGAAAACUAUCUCGCUACUAUGACUUCAAGAACAGUUAUAAACGAACAAAGGUAAGUUUUGUCUUCCCAUUAUUCCAAAAUAUAGUUGAUACAACUUUUACGAUUUAAAAAAGCGAUAUAUUGAUCUCUAUGAGAAUAACGCACAAACUUUGAAAUUUAGACUUUGAUCUUCCCUUCGAGAACGCCGCGCUUAUUCUUUCAAAAAUGUUGGACCGUAUAGUGUGAUCGUCCCUUCGAUAUGCCACGCUAUUAAAGUUCUAUCAAAGGUGUUGGAUCUGAUCUUCUCUUCGAGAAUGCCGUGCUAACUUAGAGUUCUUACAAAAGUGUUGGAUCGCAUAGUGAUCUUCUCUUCGAGAAUGCCGC